rnacentral:rRNA from 1 species
UACGAAGGUGGCAAGCGUUUGUUCGGAAUUACUGGGCGUAAAGGGCUCGUAGGCGGCCAACUAAGUCAGACGUGAAAUCCCUCGGCUUAACCGGGGAACUGCGUCUGAUACUGGAUGGCUUGAGGUUGGGAGAGGGAUGCGGAAUUCCAGGUGUAGCGGUGAAAUGCGUAGAUAUCUGGAGGAACACCGGUGGCGAAGGCGGCAUCCUGGACCAAUUCUGACGCUGAGGAGCGAAAGCCAGGGGAGCAAAGCGGG